AUUGAACGCUGGCGGCAUGCCUUACACAUGCAAGUCGAACGGUAACGGGCCUUCGGGUGCCGACGAGUGGCGAACGGGUGAGUAAUGCAUCGGAACGUACCUUUCAGUGGGGGAUAACGUAGCGAAAGUUACGCUAAUACCGCAUAUUCUGUGAGCAGGAAAGCAGGGGAUCGCAAGACCUUGCGCUGAUUGAGCGGCCGAUGUCAGAUUAGCUAGUUGGUGAGGUAAAGGCUCACCAAGGCGACGAUCUGUAGCGGGUCUGAGAGGAUGAUCCGCCACACUGGAACUGAGACACGGUCCAGACUCCUACGGGAGGCAGCAGUGGGGAAUUUUGGACAAUGGGGGCAACCCUGAUCCAGCCAUGCCGCGUGAGUGAAGAAGGCCUGGUGUAAG
rnacentral:rRNA from 1 species